rnacentral:rRNA from 1 species
UGACAUGUACGGAACUUGCCAGAGAUGGCUUGGUGCCCGAAAGGGAGCCGUAACACAGGUGCUGCAUGGCUGUCGUCAGCUCGUGUCGUGAGAUGUUGGGUUAAGUCCCGCAACGAGCGCAACCCUUGUCAUUAGUUGCCAUCAUUAAGUUGGGCACUCUAAUGAGACUGCCGGUGACAAACCGGAGGAAGGUGGGGAUGACGUCAAGUCCUCAUGGCCCUUAUGAGCAGGGCUUCACACGUCAUACAAUGGUCGGUACAGAGGGUUGCCAAGCCGCGAGGUGGAGCUAAUCU